CUGCAGUUCUGAAACAGGCUCCAUCCUGGAAGCUGGAGUCACGUGGAGUUGUAAUGGCUGGCCCAUUUGGAGCCAGUUCCAGGGACCCCAUCUCUUAUCAACAAAGUGACUGAGGAUUGUCUUUAAGAAAAACUGCCAAGUCACCUCCCCAGAGCAUGUGUAGAAGAAGAAAUUGUGACCUGAAACGGCCUCGGGACUAAAGAUCCACCUCCCCACAGAACCCAAGGGCCAGGACACAACCAGAACUUGAAAGGUGCACUCUUAUCAGAAGCAGGGGAUCCCUCAUUCAGGAAGAUCUGGUGUCAAAAUUCUUUCCCAAAUGUUUAAAACCCUCCAAUCAAAACCUGUCCUACCGGCAUUCCCAGGUGUCAGUCUGUUCUCCCUAACCUCUUACACGUCACCCCCAAAUCCUGGCUUGGACAGACGGAUCUGAGGGCCCACACUUCCUGUCUCCAUGCAGAUGCAUCUGGCAGUAUAAAAGCUGAUUCCCCCCAAGGCUGACGCCAUAGUCAAUCGGCUUGUUUAUCCACGUCAGGCAGAGAACCCCAGCUUCCUGCGGUAACAGACUAAAGUAGACAAAGUCAUCUCUCACAUUUUAGGGGAGAGAAGUAGUCUGGUAGUGACGUGUUGAGUGCAACCAGUGAGUAAUUACUCUGUGCGUGAACUCAGUCAACCCUAUUGAGAUCUGUGAUACUGAUAUCCUCCUUACACAGGGACUGCGCAUUCGCACAGCUUCCACCAUCACUUCUGCUCUGAGGAACUAGCAGAAAGGUCCUGUCCUUGCACAGCCAGAGCUACAGGCUUUGACGGCCAUCCUCCUAUAGGCGCAGAGAAUCUCUCCCGGAGCCCUUUCCAUCACCCUCUUCAAACCUUCCAUCUCUUCUGAGCCCAUUUCCCAUUCACUCAGCUCCCAUCCAGUUUCCACAUCUCUGCGUUGAUACUUUGCACUGGGAGCUCCUCUGACCGUCUACUCUGCUUGCCAGAUGCCCAGCCAACAUUUUCCUUCUCUCCAUGAAACUGCCUCUCAGGCACCUCCUAUUCUCCGCCCAGUGCAGGUUGAGGGCGAGCUGCCCCUACCUCCUCACCCAACCCAGACUUCCAAGACCCUGCAACUCGGCUGCCACGGCAGGCUUCUUGUAGAGGAGACACUCAGUGGACUUUACACCUCUCACACCAGCCUCACUUCUACAUCUCCAAGUGCCCCCCUGACCAUUCCCUCACUAGGAGAGGCUGGCUUCAUUUAGAAAUCUGCAUCUUCAAAAGCAAACUCAUCUUCCCCUGCCUCUGACAUUGGCAUCUCCGUGAUCCCAGUCACCUGACUUAAAGCCUUAGAGUCAUUUUUGAUUCACUCUAAAUAAAUGAAAUGUUCAGUAAGUGACCUUCUCAUUUCAUUUCUUUUUAAAAAUGUCUCCUAUAAUUUGGCUCAUCAGCUCCUCAUUCCGU
rnacentral:lncRNA from 1 species